AGGAUCACGGUUCACAACUGCUGAUGCAGA
rnacentral:piRNA from 1 species